rnacentral:rRNA from 1 species
CCCCCCUCCCCUCCCCGAUUCCGCCGCCGCCGCGAAUCCGGCCGCCUCCCCUCCCAAAACCCUAGCCAGCCCCGCCCCAGUCCCAAUCAACCGAGCCGCACGCCCCAUUGCUCCGCUCCAGGUUUGACCUUGUCCCGCCCCGAGAUCGCAUCUACAGCGGGAGGAUCAUCAUCAGAGGUUAAAUUAACCCAGGUCGCUGUCUGGCUCCACCGUUGGUCAGUAACUGCCCCAUUGGAGCCAAGGCUGCUGGGCAGGCCUCCCCGCUAGCUAGCGGCGUGGGGUUUAUAGGCGGGCCGGUGCGAUGGCAACGGCCACAAUGGCGACGGCUGCAGGUGCCGCCGCGCUGCUCUACUACACGCUGAACCGCCGGCUGCACACGGAGAAGCUGGACAGGGAAGGGGGCUCGGACGGCGAGAAUGGCAGGGACGCGGCGGCCAGCGGCACGCUGGAGUCCCAUAGCAUGAGCCGGGUGUCGCGGAGGGACGUGCGCGCCCCCGCCACGUGGCUGGAGACCAUCUCGACCCUGUCGGAGACGCUGCGGUUCACGUACUCUGAGACCCUUGGGAAGUGGCCCAUCGGGGACCUCGCUUUCGGAAUCAGCUUCCUCCUCAAGAGACAGGGGAACUUAUCUGUUGCAAGCAUAUAUGCUGGAGAUGAUAGUGUGGAGCUCAAAGGAGCUUCGGUAGUUACGGACUUGAGGUAUCUUUUGAAUUUGUUGACACUGUGUUGGCAUUUUUCCAAAAAGCCAUUCCCGUUAUUUUUGGAAGCUACUGGCUACUCCAUGGAGGAUGUUCUUAUGCAAGAACCUAAAGCAGGGAUUUUGAAGCCAGCUUUCACCAUUUUACUUGAUAGAGACAGACAAUGUAUACUUCUACUAAUUAGAGGCACCCACAGUAUAAGGGAUACCCUGACAGCUGCUACGGGUGCUGUGGUUCCGUUCCACCAUACAAUAGUCAAAGAAGGUGGUGUUAGUGAUCUAGUUUUAGGGUAUGCACAUUUUGGGAUGGUUGCAGCGGCUAGAUGGAUUGCAAAGCUUGCAACUCCUUGUCUCACAGAAGCAUUACAUUUGUAUCCAGAUUAUAAAAUAAAGGUUGUUGGACAUUCACUUGGAGGUGGUACAGCAGCUCUCUUGACAUACGUCCUGAGGGAACAGCAGGAGUUUGCCUCCGCUACUUGCGUGUCAUUUGCUCCAGCUGCUUGUAUGACAUGGGAGCUGGCUGAGUCAGGAGUACAUUUUAUCACUACAGUCAUCAAUGGUGCUGAUUUGGUGCCAACAUUUUCGGCGGCGGCAGUAGAUGAUCUUCGUUCAGAGGUGACGGCAUCUGCCUGGCUGAAUGAUCUCCGUCACCAAAUCGAGCAAACCAGAAUCCUGAGCACUUUCUAUCGAUCUGCAUCUGCCUUGGGAUCGCGACUUCCUUCUAUAGCAAAUGCUAAAGCUAGAGUAGCUGGUGCUGGUGCCAUCCUAAGACCUGUAUCUAAUGGAACACAGGUUGUAAUGAGGAGAGCUCGCAGUGUAGCACAAGCAGCAUGGACAAGACCGGGGCUACAACUAUCCUCAUGGGCUUGUAUUGGGCCAAGGCGGCGGAAUACUACCUCAAUUGUCACAUCAGAAGAAAUAACAACUUCCACUACCAACGGUGGCUCUGAAUCCAGUUCACUAUUGACUGAGACCAUGAUGGAAACCACAGAGAUAGUUACAUCUGAAACCACGCAGUAUGCUGCAUCAGAAGAGGUCCAGAGCACCAUCUCGGCAUCCGAUGCUGUUGGUACCUUGGAUGACAAGGUAGACAGUGAUGGUGAAGACAUCAUCGAUCAUCACGUGGAUGAGGACAGGAUCACCGAAGUAGAGCUGUGGCAACAACUCGAAAACGAGCUGUACCGGAAAAGGGAAGGGGAGAACGACAUAGUGGAAGAGAUGACUGAAAGUAACAUUGCCGAGGAAGUUGGCGGCAGAGCUCAAGAUGUCCUCAGUGAACCCAACGAGAAGGAGGUCCACAGAUUCUACCCACCUGGGAAAAUCAUGCACGUAAUAACAUCCACAAGAGAAGCAGCCAUAGACGACGACGAGACCAGCGAACAUGAGGAUGAAGAGCCAGACCUUCACCAAGUUGAUGCUGCCGGGGAGUCGGAGACAAGCAUAGGGAUCUUCUUGACGCCAAGAUCUCUGUAUGGCAAGCUGAGGCUGUCGAAGAUGAUGAUCAACGAUCAUUACAUGCCGAUGUACAGAAGAAACAUCGAGCAGUUGGUUGCGGAGCUUGAGAAGGACCUGGCUCUGUAGGUGGUAGCCCUGACAACAAUACAAUACAGCUUGCUGGUCCAAACCAGAUACUCACAGUUAGCUUCAACUGUUGUAAAAGCUGAUGGCAUACAUAGGGUGUUAGUUCCAUAAAGUGUACCUAACAUUACUGGAACUAUAUAACAACGCUUGUCACAACUUUUCUCAGAUAUGAUAUCUGGCACAACUCUUCUCACAGGUUCUCACGUUCUCCUUUGAGAGAGGAAAUCUUUCACUGAGAUACACAAGGCAUUAGUUGCAAAAUAUUCUCAUGUUUUCCUCUUAUUAGAGGAAAUCUUUUAGGCAUUGUUCGGUUUCAUGACAAAUGAGAGGGAUUGACAGGGAUUAAAUCUCAUCUAGUUCAAAUUUCCCCCAAAUCCCCUCCAUUCCACUCCAAUCCACUUGGGGAGUGGCUUAACCGAACAAGGCCUCACUGAGAAGCAGCAGUGUUUGAUUACUGUAAGCAAAAAUUCUAGUCACAUUCCUACUGUGAAAGUUUGAUUCGCAGCUUCUCCUUUUAAGAGAGGAUAUCUUUCAUUGAGAAGCAGCACUGCAGUGUUUGAUUACUGUAUCAGCAAAAACUCUAGUCAUAUUCCUACUGUGGAAUUUUGGGAGGAAGUCAGCAUGUAAAACAGAGAAGUAGUCACUCAUAGUUUCAUCUUCUUUGAUGUUCCUGUCGUUCCUUCCUUGCUGAUGACAGGGCCAGCCUUUCUAGGAAUGCCGCGAGGCUGGCUCUCUGCCCUAGAAGAACUGGUUGCGCGAUCCCUUCCCUUCUGGCUCAUGAAUUCUCUGAAUGAUGGUAUCUUGGGAAGGUCCAUGGUACCGAUCGCGCCAUCUCUCCUCGCUUCUUCGUCUAUUGUUUUCUCAGGUGGUGACAUCCGGGAAGGCUCCAUGUUUUCAGUUGAAGCCAUGGUCUUUGCAAACUCAUCAGAAAGCUCGGUUUUCGCGAGCUCUUGGCUUACUGUAGCUUCUGCUGGCUUUUCAGCUUUGCCCAAAGCAUCAGAAAUGAUGCAAGGAGAGCUGGUGGCUGCACCAGCUUCUGUAGUCUGGUUGGUAAGGGCUUCAAGUCGGCCGUGGAUUUGGUCAGAAGUUGAAGACGAC